rnacentral:rRNA from 1 species
GACGUAGGAGGCGAGCGUUGUCCGGAGUUAUUGGGCGUAAAGCGCGCGCAGGCGGCCUCGCGCGCCCGACGUGAAAGCCCCCGGCUCAACCGGGGAGGGUCGUUGGGGACGGCGGGGCUUGAGGGCGGGAGAGGGCGGUGGAAUUCCCGGUGUAGUGGUGAAAUGCGUAGAGAUCGGGAGGAACAUCAGUGGCGAAGGCGGCCAUCUGGGACAACACUGACGCUGAAGCACGAAAGCGUGGGGAGCAAACAGG